rnacentral:rRNA from 1 species
AGAGUUUGAUCCUGGCUCAGGAUGAACGCUAGCUACAGGCUUAACACAUGCAAGUCGAGGGGAAACGACAUCGAAAGCUUGCUUUUGAUGGGCGUCGACCGGCGCACGGGUGAGUAACGCGUAUCCAACCUGCCCAUCACUUGGGGAUAACCUUGCGAAAGUAAGACUAAUACCCAAUGACGUCUCUAGAAGACAUCUGAAAAGAGAUUAAAAGAUUUAUCGGUGAUGGAUGGGGAUGCGUCUGAUUAGCUUGUUGGCGGGGUAACGCCACAAGGCGACGAUCAGUAGGGGUCUGAGAGGAAGGUCCCCCANAUUGGAACUGAGACACGGUCCAAACUCCUACGGGAGGCA